AUGUUGAUUAGGAAGUUUUGUUGGGGCGGUAAGGAUGGGCAAAGGAAGCCAAGCUGGGUAUCCUGGGAGUUGAUGACAUAGCCAAAAGGAAUGUGUGGCCUAGGUUUUAAGGAUUUUGAGGUUUUUAGUCUUUCUCUCUUGGCCAGGCGGGCUUGGUGUAUUUUGCAAAAUCUCGAAACAUUGAGCUUGAGAAUCUUGAAAUAUGUUUACUUCCCCUCUUCAUCUAUAUUGCAGGCAGUAGUGAGAAUCCACCCAUCUCGGAUUUGGAGAGCUAUAUUGGAGGGAAGGGGUAUACUUCAGUAGGGAUUAAUUAAAUGGAUUGGGAAUUAA
rnacentral:rRNA from 1 species